rnacentral:lncRNA from 1 species
UAUAUAUUAAUAUGUGUUUUUCUUUAUUAAUUUGUCUUGGAAUGUCUGUUAUUUCAUUAUUUCUUUAAUUAUUACUCUUGUUUCGGUUUCCCUUGUUUCUUCCUAAACCUACAUAUGCAAUAGUUCCUCUUUAUCAGCUGUUUCGCUUUUCAUGAUUUCAGUUACCCACGGUACAAUACAAUGAGAUAUUUUGAGAGAGAGAGACCCCAUCCACAUAACUUGUAUUACAGUAUAUUGCUAUAAUUGUUAUAUUUUAUUAUUAGUUAUUGUUGUUAAUCUCUUACUGUGCCUAUUUUAGAAAUUAAACUUUAUUAUAGGUAUGUAUGUAUAGGAAAAACCAUAGUGAAUACAGGGCUCAGUACUAUUUGCAGUUUCAGGCACCCACUGGGGAAUCUUAGAAUAUAUCCACUGCAGAUAAGAGAGACUACUGUAAUUCUGACAUUAGACAUUCACUAAUCAUCUGCCUCACAAUUUUCUUUUGCUGACAUUUACCCUUGCACUCUAGGAGAGUUUCUGAAGUUUGCCCCCCACAUAUUUUAUUUCUAAAUUCUGCUCUUUGAAACUUCUAAUACAGGUUUAAAUUUUGGUUUUCGUUUUUGGUUUCUUUGUGUCCCCUUCUUAUCCUCUCUUACCUCUUUGUCUCACUCCAUUAUCAUUCCAUCUCAAUCUAUAGCUCUUUACUCCAUUUCAUGAAGGUAAUACCAUCUUGUUUCCUAUCAAGGAUGUACACUUUUGUCUGAAUUUUCUUCUUAUUCUGUAUCAUUUUAUGAGAUCUGUCUUUUUCAGUCUUCGGGGUAAUGAUGCCCUCUGCCUUUCUCUGUGGUGGUUUUGAGAGGCAAAAUUUCUUUCUGAUUACUCUUUUAAGGAGAGCUUGGCCUACUCCUAGAGCUUGUCAGCUGUGAUGAGCACAUUGUCCUUAGCCCUGCUCUUCAUCUAUGUCCCUGCUAACUAAAUCUCCUCAGACCUACAGCUGUUUGGCAGGUGAAUAUGCACAAUGCUGGUAAAAUCCCCACUACCUAGUGGACUUUCAUUCAUUACAGAACAUCCACUGUAUGAAAUGAGAUGCAGGGAAUAACUCCAUUUUUUAGCAAGGAUUGCUAAUGCGGCUUUUUUUACCUCCACCCCCAAGAAGGCCACUUUGUACUUAGGACAACUACUCCCCCAGGUGCAGCAUGCUACUGCCACACCCUGCGCACAACCCAUCCUCCCACACCCUGCCCACUCCACUGAACGCACCAGAUUUCUGCUUAGUUGGUUUCCAGGAUUUGGAUUUGGAAUCUUUGACUUGGGUUAGAAAGAGAGGCACUAAUGGGGAAUAAAGAUAGGUUGCCUCAUGAAGAGGACUCCUACCAAAGAGGUUUGACUGCUAGGUUUUCUAGAUGGCUACAUUUCUGUGUGGAGUAUGAGCAUUCAGGAAAGAGGGGGUCUUUCAGGGACAUAAGCUUGCUCUGUUUCAGAUGCAUGACACAAGUGGUUCACCAAUUGUGCUUUUCAAUAUAGUUCCAUUGGCUUCGAUUAGGAUGGAGAUUCUGCCUAGAUUUUUGGCAUUUGGUAGGCUUCCUUUAGUGUUUGGUUAAGUUCUGCUCUCUUCUAUGAGAAAAUGAAAAAAUAGAAACUUCUAGAGACAAUAUUUUAUACCAGGAAUUCUUGAAAUUGGCUCAUAAUGACAGUGUUCAGCUUCUUGAAUCAAGCUCCUCUAUUCUAGUUUGCUUGGAGUGAAACCUAUGAAAUGGCUUUCCACUUUAAACUCUGUUCUGUGUAUCAUUCAGCCCCUCAUGAGUUUUAACAGAGGGGCAGGAGGAUUACUAGCAGGACAUGAUUAAUCAUCACAGGGCAUUUGCAUCACCUCUUUUGUGGUAUUUCUCUGUGUGGUCCCGGUACAUUUGUCUUUCUCUAUAAGUCUUCAUAAUGUUGGUCACUGCUUGUUUUCCUAUGAGCAAAACUUAUUUACAUAGAUAUUAGAAUUAUUUUCCUAUGUGGAAUGUGUCAGAUAGGUUUUCAUGAGCACUGCAUGAAUUUAAGUUCAAAGCUACAAUUAAAACUCCUGGCAUUAUGUAGACAUUAAAGCAAUCUAUUUAUCCUAAGAUACAAAUUCAGUUUGAAUUCUGAGAGAAAUUUAGAAAAUUUACAAAAUUUAGGACAAAAACUCUGUGCCAUUCUGAGACCACAGUGAGAGCAUCUUCUUUCUCAUCUGUUGUGAAAGCUUUGAAGAGCCACACUCACAACUCAGUUAACCUGCUAUUGAUCUGUGGUUUCUAUAGAAGCAGCAUAUGAUACAUUCUGAGUGUAGGGUUUAGGGUCCAAUGCCUGGAUUUAAUUCCCAGCUCUGCUAAUUCCUAGCUCUGUGUCUUUAGGCAAGUUACUUUGCCUCACUAAGGGCACAUUCCUUAUCUGUAAAAUGAGGAUACUAAUAGUUCUUACAUAAGAGUCAAUGUGAAGAACAAUCAGACCAUCCAUAUGUAGUGUCUAGAACAGUGCCUGGGACAUAUGAGGUGCUCUAUAAAUCUUACCUCCUGUUAUUGUUAUUAUUAUUAUUGGUGUUACUUUAUUAUUAUUAGCUCAGUAAAGAGAACUUGUUUGGCAAUAAAGGUGAGUCUCGUAUUGAUGUCUACCUAUGGGAUGGGGCAGGGCUCAAAUUCUUUGGUUGAUUAUAUAUUGCAGCACCUUCCCAUUAAAAAAUGAGGGAAGUUUGAUAGUUUAUUAACUUUAGUAGCACUUUUGUUGUAAAACCAACUACAUGCAACAUGCAGAAACAUACGCCAAUAGCUAGAACUAAAGACCUCUGCAUCACUAUCUUUUUUUUUUUUUUUGAGAUAGAGUCUCACUUUGUUGCCCAGGCUGGAGUGCAGUGGUGCAAUCUUGGCUCACUGCAAACUCUGCCUCCUGGGUUCAAGCGAUUCUCCUGCCUUAGCCUCCCAAGUAGCUGGGACUACAGGUGUAUGCCACCACGCCCAAAUAACUUUUUUAAAAAAUAUUUUUAGUAGAGACAGGGUUUCGCCAUGUUGCCCAGGCUAGUCUCGAACUCCUGACCUCAGGUGAUCUGCCCACCUUGGACUCCCAAAGUGCUGGGAUUACAGACAUGAGCCACCAUGCCAGACCGUAUGCAUCACUAUUCAAUGAGCUGUUUUAUCAGAAGCUAAGGAUGUACUUUUUAAAAAGAAUAUGAAAAUAAUGUGCCUUUAAAUUAAGAAUCUGUGAUAUACAAAAUGUUGUAUCAUUGGAUAGGGAAUGGUAUUAAAAAAACAACUGAACACUUUGCCUCUAUGAGAGAAUAUAUAAAUAUAUAUAUAUAAAUAUAUCAACAUUAUAUCAUACAAUAAUAAUAUACCCUUCAUUAUCUUAUUUUAGAUUUAUGAGCUGAAUUACCUAAGAUCUUAGGUCCCACCAAAUUGUCUCUGAAGAGAUUAUAUUUUAUUGCUUGUGGAAUCAGAGUAAAAUACUAACAAAAUAUUGACGGAAUUGAAUGGAUGUUCAGUUCACUUCAGCACAGAUCAUAAGCACUAGAAACCUCAUGGACAGAUGGAUUAAAUAUUAUUCCAGAAAUAACAUGUUUAAAGUUAACUUUUUUUAUUCUUCAGACUUUCUUAGCUUCUCAAAAAUAAUGGGAUGACUGGUUCAAAAGGGACAAUAACCUGAAAUCAUACCCAUAGCAAGAUAUCUGUCUUAUCUAAGGACUGAAUAUGUAUGAUUCUUAUCGUAAUGUCAAUAUUAUUUUUCCACAUAACAAAAUACAUAAUGGCUUGUACAUUAUAAAAAUAGUUCAUUUGUGAGAGCAAAAUCUCAUGGCAAAUUUACAUCAUAGUCUUUUAUUUUCAAGUAUCAUUAUUACAGAAUGCUUAGUAAAUGUGUAGAGCAUUGUAUUAGUACCAAAACAAAUUUAAAACUCUCUGUUUCUCAUUUUUCAGGAUAUGGCAUGAGAUAAUGCAGUGAUUCUUCUCUUAUGCCAGUGGUCUUUUGAGCACAUUUUGAGUAACACUGAAAUAAUUCUUGUGGAGUGCAUAGCAUGGUGCGUAGCACACAUAAACAUUGAUUUCUUUAUUUCUUUUUUCUUUCAUUUUUUUUUCUUUUUCAAAUGACCUCUCCUUUUCCCCCCUGACCAACUCACUCUGCCAUAUUGUGGGAAUACAGUAGAGCACACUAAGAGAGCUGCAGUUUCAGAGUCAGUGGACCUUGUGGGAGGCUUUGGUUGGAGGGAUCAGUUACUGAUACUAUUUCUUCCCACUUCUCCCAGGACCUUGUCCUUUAGAUCUUUUGAUUAUUCCUUUUUUUUUUCACUCUUUAUUUCAUGACUCCUCUUUAGACUACAUAUUAGCUCAAUCUUCAUCAUAAACUGUUUUAAAGCAAUUCCUUUGAAACUGCUCAAGCUCCAAUUCCAUCUCUGCCUCUAACCCUCACUACCAAAAUUCCUGGUUAAAAUUAUUGAAGAAAAGAGUGUAGAGAGAGAAGAGAGAGAAACUAAAAUCAAGUGUUGAUAAAUGCCUACAUGUAGAAAGUGGGAAGGAUAACUCAAGUCAAAGAAGCAGCAAGCAAAGAGGUAGAGGAAGCUGGGUGCUCCCUGUCAUCAGUGUGGGGGGUGCAGGAAGAAGUGGAGGGUCAGUAGGGCUGAAAUGCUGAUAUUUCCAGAGGGAUGGGGGCUGAGGCAAGGUCCUGAUUGGAGACUGGGAUAGUAUCAGUUCUCUUCCAAGCUGUUUUUGUGGAGUAAUAGAAGGUUUCCAUUGUACUGUGAUUAUGAUUGAGAGGGUGCUGAGUAUGUGGAGAUUCUGCAUGGUAGAUUCUUCUUCCAAUGUAUGUAGAUUUAUGUAAAGAACAGCAGAUAAAGCAAUGAAAAAUGAAGUCAGUGUUUACUUACACAAAAAGAGAUAAGUUCUGUAAGGAAAAAAAUAUUCAUGUUACUUGUUAAACAAUAGUAAGGCAGACUUCAUUCCAGACCAUUGCUAUAGGUGUAGGGACCACUGCAAGGGAAUUUUGCAGUAAGAGGGGAGAAAUUAUAGGGGUGGCUGGUUUUUCCAAGAGUUGACUCCAUAGCCAACCUUAAUUUUAACAAUCUAAUUCCAUGUACAUCAUUCUCAAAUAUUGCAUUCUAUUAUAGUUAUUCAAGGCCUUGGUAGUAUUUAGCUCCAAAUAUAAUGAAGAAAAGUGGGGAUUUUUAGCUAGGAGCAGGGCCAGGGAUCGUUGGAUGGAAAAUUAAAAGGAAACAUCAGGGAUAAGGCGGAUUCUGGGAAAAGUGACCUAUAGGAUUCUUGCUUAAGGCCAGCGGGUGAUCAGAUCUCACCUGGCGGAUGGUGGAGGAUGAGGGGACUUGAUCGGAUAGCAAGAAUGGAGGAUUCUGACUAAAGUAGCCUGUCAGUAUUCUUGCUAUGAGUGGGUAGUGCAGAGAUGAACGUGGAAGUCCAACAAUGAGGCCUAAUUGAAAAAGAGCUCAGAGGAGCCUGAUUAGAAUUUAGUCAAGGAGAGAAUCUUUGUCAGUGUGACUGAGACACUUCACAUGUUAUAGAUGUCUUGGAUUGUUUGGUACUGUUCUCUGCCAGUUGUUUAUUGAUAAAUGAAUUCAUUUAUUAAUUAAGAAACAUCAAAUAAGAAAGAUGUUGUUUGGAAAGAACUAACAAGUGAAUUCUAAAAAUUUGUUUGUCUUAAUCAUUACGAUUCUAGACCUCCUAGUUUGUUAUUCACAUUAAAGUUGGUAUUUUUGGGCUCUCUCUUUUGCACAUCAAGCCUCUCAUUCCUAAAUGAUCUAAUUCAAGCUUAAGGACCAGAAUUUUUGGACUUUAGUACCAUUCUAGAAAUAUAUCAUUCUAAAAUCUGAAAUCUACAAUUUUGAAGAAAACUAUUUAUAGGAAACUGAGAGCUAAAACAAUCUUAUAAUAACAUCCCAUUUUUGGUUUCACUUAGUACUUAAGAUAAAAAUUGCUUCUCUGAAUAUAAUUUUGUCACUUUUUUUCCUGUGUACUUUCUUAAUACAGCAAGUAGACUCAGUAAAAUCUGAUACAAUAUACUUAUUUCACUAGUGAAAUUGAAAGCUGAAUGACUGGCGAAUUUAAAAGAUAAUGAGGGUUCUUACUACCAGCGCCAAUAAGAAAGGUUAGACAUUUGUUAAACGUGAUAUGGUGCUAUCUGCCUGCAUGUUAACCAUAUAGUUCAGGGGACACCCAGUGGUUAAAAGUAGGUAAUUCCUUGCUGUGGUACAGUGUUAAAAAAUUAUGGAAAAAUAUAUUUCUUGGCUCAGCAGUGAUCACACAUUGUUGAUUUUUUCUUUCUGAAUGAGUACAUGUUAGGAUGUGUGUGUGUUUUGAGAAAAUGUUUGGUCUUGACUUUAUAUAUAAAUUUUCUUUGAAUAAUAAAAACUCACCAACAAUUUUGAAAAUGUUAGAAAUAUGAUUAAACUUUUCCUUUAAUUAAAACAAAUUAGAAAUGUGGAACAAGUGACUGCGUCAUAAAUAAGAAAAGCCUUUUUGACCCAGAAAUCCCAAUUCUAAGAAUGUAUUCCAAGUAUAUAAUCAGAGGUGUACAUGAUGACUUACUUAUAUCCAACGAUAUUUAUCAUAGCUUUAUUUAUAAUAACAACAAACUAAGAAGGAAACACCUGUAUGGAAGUUAAGUAAAAUCAUAGCGCUGAUAUACUGACGAAGGCAUUUUUAAUACUGUGUUUUGAAAAACAUUUAAUGACAGGCAAAAAUGCUUAUAUUAGGUAAAAAUCUUUCUAAAUGUAAGAUUACAAUUCUAUUCAUAUAACAUACUUAUAAUAUGUUAUCAUGUGCAUAUUUUUGUAUUUGUAUAAAAAUAGGAAAAAACUGAAAUUAGUUGUCUUGGAUGACAGGAUUUUAAGUAAUUAUUAUUUCUUCUUCCUACUUUUUUUAAUCUUAAGUGUAUUUAUUAAACCAGAAGAAAAAGAACAAUAAGCAGCAUAGAUAAUAAAAGAGUAAGAUAAGAGUGUUUUACCAAUGACCAGAAAAGUACCCAUGCAUGUAUCUGCUUAGACCUUAAAGAGAGAAGUGCUGUGUAUUUGAGAUUUUUUACUUUGGGGCCCCUAAGAGAUACUUUCAGAGCAAGGCUGCUGCUGCUGUGUGUGUGUAUAUGAGUGUAUGUUUUGUGUGCUUGUGUGUAGGGGUGGGGGCACACACACGUGUUUGAGUAGAAAAGCACCUCUUAAAUACAGACAGAAAAUAAGAACAAAGACAACUUGGAGGGCAAGAAUACUGAAAUAUUUUUAGUUCAUAUUCUCUUUGGAAUCUGAUGAAACUGUGAUCUUUUCUCUGAAAGCUACACACAUGUACGAAUACAAAAAA